rnacentral:rRNA from 1 species
GAUGAACGCUGGCGGCGUGCCUAAUACAUGCAAGUCGAGCGAACAGACGAGGAGCUUGCUCCUCUGACGUUAGCGGCGGACGGGUGAGUAACACGUGGAUAACCUACCUAUAAGACUGGGAUAACUUCGGGAAACCGGAGCUAAUACCGGAUAAUAUAUUGAACCGCAUGGUUCAAUAGUGAAAGACGGUUUUGCUGUCACUUAUAGAUGGAUCCGCGCCGCCUUGGCUAGUUGGUAAGGUAACGGCUUACCAAGGCAACGAUGCAUAGCCGCCCUGAGAGUGUGAUCGGCCACACUGAAACUGAGACACGGUCCAGACUCCUACGGGAGGCAACAGUAGGGAAUCUUCCGCAAUGGGCGAAAGCCUGACGGAGCAACGCCGCGUGAGUGAUGAUGGUCUUCGGAUCGUAAAACUCUGUUAUUAGGGAAGAACAAAUGUGUAAGUAACUAUGCACGUCUUGACGGUACCUAAUCAGAAAGCCACGGCUAACUACGUG